GGAAGGGCCAUCGCUCAACGGAUAAAAGCUACCCUGGGGAUAACAGGCUUAUCUCCCCCAAGAGUCCACAUCGACGGGGAGGUUUGGCACCUCGAUGUCGGCUCAUCACAUCCUGGGGCUGUAGUAGGUCCCAAGGGUUGGGCUGUUCGCCCAUUAAAGUGGUACGCGAGCUGGGUUCAGAACGUCGUGAGACAGUUCGGUCCCUAUCCGUCGCAGGCGUAGGAAAUUUGAGAAGACCUGUCCUUAGUACGAGAGGACCGGGAUGGACGUACCUCUGGUGUACCAGUUGUUCUGCCAAGGGCAUGGCUGGGUAGCUAUGUACGGAAUGGAUAAGCGCUGAAAGCAUCUAAGCGCGAAGCCAACUUCAAGAUAAGAUUUCCCACCGCAAGGGUAAGACCCCAGAAAGACUAUCUGGUUGAUAGGUCGAAGGUGUAAGUGCAGCAAUGUAUUUAGCUUAUCGAUACUAAUAGGUCGAGGACUUGACCAAU
rnacentral:rRNA from 1 species